CUCAAUUCGUGGCUCAGGCAGGGCAAUCUUAAUGGUUGGCCGGUCGCUAGAUCCGGAGUUCCAAACCUGCCUGAGUCACACCUUU
rnacentral:antisense_RNA from 1 species